UACGUAGGGUGCGAGCGUUGUCCGGAAUUAUUGGGCGUAAAGAGCUCGUAGGCGGUGUGUCACGUCGGCCGUGAAAACCUGCAGCUUAACUGUGGGCGUGCGGUCGAUACGGGCAUCACUGGAGUUCGGCAGGGGAGACUGGAAUUCCUGGUGUAGCGGUGAAAUGCGCAGAUAUCAGGAGGAACACCGAUGGCGAAGGCAGGUCUCUGGGCCACUACUGACGCUGAGGCGCGAAAGCUAGGGGAGCGAACAGG
rnacentral:rRNA from 1 species